GACGAAGGUGGCAAGCGUUGUUCGGUAUUACUGGGCUUAAAGCGUGUGUAGGCGGAAAAUUAAGUGUAUUGUGAAAUCCCCAGGCUCAACCUGGGAAUUGCUUUGCAAACUGAUUUUCUUGAGGCAAGUAGGGGUGCACGGAACUCUUGGUGGAGCGGUGGAAUGCGUAGAUAUCAAGAGGAACGCCAGAGGUGAAGACGGUGCACUGGGCUUGUUCUGACGCUCAGACACGAAAGCGUGGGGAGCAAACAGG
rnacentral:rRNA from 1 species